GCGGGAAUAGCUCAAUAGGUAGAGCACAACCUUGCCAAGGUUGAGGUUGCGAGUUCAAAUCUCGUUUUCCGCU
rnacentral:tRNA from 1 species